UACGUAGGGGGCUAGCGUUGUCCGGAAUCAUUGGGCGUAAAGAGCGUGUAGGCGGUCCGGUAAGUCAGCUGUGAAAGUCAAGGGCUCAACCCUUGAAUGCCGGUUGAUACUGCCAAGCUAGAGUGCGGAAGGGGCAACUGGAAUUCCCAGUGUAGCGGUGAAAUGCGUAGAUAUUGGGAAGAACACCUGAGGCGAAGGCGGGUUGCUGGGCCGACACUGACGCUGAGGCGCGAAAGCCAGGGGAGCAAACGGG
rnacentral:rRNA from 1 species